rnacentral:RNase_P_RNA from 1 species
GUAAGUCAGGGAGCCAAUUUCGGGGCUUUGACAUUAAAUUGUCGAGAAAUCCAAACAAAUGAUUUCUAAGUUCUGAGGAAGGUCCGUCCACCAAAAACAAGUUGUCUUUCGAAAGGAAGAUUCCCGCGAGGGAAAGCUCUGGAACAGAAACGAUCCUAUUAGGUUAGGCUGAAACGGCUAUCUCAACUGGUGCAACUCCAUGAAGGGGGCUUAGUCGAAUGUUGGCAAGUUCUUUUCAAAAAUGAAGAACUACAGAAGAUGGCCUAUCCUUGACUUAC